GCCGGGGCUGAACGGGGUCGCGCUGCUGUCCAGGCCGAACGAGGGGCUCAGCGGGUCGGCUUUGACUGGUGCAUCUGUCGGGGACGGUGGGUCAUCAGAGGUGGACGGAUCCAAAAGGCUGAUAAGGAUGGAGUGACUUUAAAGGAUUCUGCUUCUGUGAGCGAGAGAUGAAUGGGAUGAAGGCGGAGGGAGGGAAGCGCUGCAAGACUGAGCAGGACCUCCGGAGCGUCAGACGCCCGCAUGCAUCGCGUGCCAGUGUUGAUGAACCGGGACAGUGUGUGAGAUCAGGCUGUGCCAGUGUGUUCUUCUCCUGCAGUGUCAUGGUGAAAGAGGUAAUCUGACAGACCGCUGACACUAACACUAGCAGGAACACACACUUCAAACGCUCUCUAACAAGUGCCACACUCGCAUACUAAAACUCAAUAAACAUGGAAACUGUCAGAGCCACAUUUCACCCGGAAAUCAAGUAUAAUACAAGAAAUUGUAUUAUAAAACAAAACAAUAAAAUAUACAAUAUAUAUCUUAUUAAUACAAU